rnacentral:tRNA from 1 species
UCAAAAAUAUUAUAAAAUGGUAUAAAUAGUUUACAACUAUUAGGAAAAUAUGAAGAAAUAUUUUUUUUGAU